rnacentral:rRNA from 1 species
AUGGUGGUGGUGGACGCGUCGGAGUUCGGGGCGGAGGGGUUCGACCCGAAGCGGUGGAUCAACGCGGCGCUGGACGCGCGGCACCCGUCCGAGCCGCUCGACCGCUUCCUCGCCGACGCCGAGGAGCGGCUCCGCGCCGCGGCCGACGACGCGGGGGCCGCGCUCGAGCGGGACAGCGCCGACGCGCUCCGCCGCGUCCCGCUCGCCUGCCGCGACGCGCUCAGGCUCCGCGACGACGCCCUCGCGCUGCGCUCCCACCUCGCCUCCGUCCUCCAGUCCCUCUCCCAGGCUGAGGGCUCAUCUGCUGAGUCAAUAACUGCGCUAGCACGAAUUGAUACUGUGAAACAACGCAUGGAAGCUGCAUACACGACAUUGCAGGAUGCAGCUGGACUAGCUCAGUUGAGCCAAAGUGUUGAGGAUGUGUUUUCGAGUGGCGAUCUUCCAAAAGCCGCAGAAACCCUGGCAACCAUGAGACAUUGCUUGUCAGCAGUUGGGGAGGUUGCAGAGUUUGCUAAUGUGAGAAAGCAGCUUGAAGUAUUGGAAGAAAGGCUGGACGAAAUGGUUCAGCCCCGUUUAUUGGAUGCCCUUUCUAACCGCAAGAUUGAUGCCGUGCAAGAUCUUCGUGGUAUAUUGACACGUAUUGGGAGGUUCAAGUCACUAGAGGUGCAAUACACUAAGAUUCAUAUCAAGCCUCUGAAGAAACUCUGGGAAGAUUUUGACCUAAAGCAAAGGGCCAACAGGGCAGAGGUGGAGAAGCGUGGUGGUGAAAUCACUAGUGUCUCAUUCUCAAGCUGGCUGCCAAGUUUCUAUGAUGAGACACUACUUUACCUUGAACAAGAAUGGAAGUGGUGCUUGACUGCAUUCCCUGAAGAAUACAGAUCACUGGUCCCAAAAGUACUUGUGGAGACCAUGAGUGAGUUGAAUUCAAGCUUUGUCUCUCGUGUUAAUGUAGCAACUGGGGAUGCUGUUCCUGAAACCAGAUCUGUUGCAAAAGGUGUACUGGAUGUUAUAUCAGGUGACUUGCCAAAAAGCAUCAAAUUGCAGAAUAAACAUCUUGCUGCACUAAUCGAAUUGCACAACAUGACUGGCACUUUUGCUCGGAACAUUCAGCACUUAUUUUCAGAAUCAGAUCUUGGAGUUGUGCUGAAUACAUUGAAAGCUAUUUAUUCCCCAUAUGAAACCUUUAAGAUGAGGUACGGGCAGAUGGAGCGCGCUGUGCUUUCUGCUGCGAUGGCCGGUAUAGAUAUCCGUGGAGCCAUCUCCCGUGGUUUAGGUGCACAAGGUAUAGAGCUAAGUGAAACUGUCCGUAGGAUGGAGGAAUCCAUCCCACAGAUGAUAGUACUUCUUGAAGCAGCUGUUGAGAGAUGCAUUAGUCUCACUGGUGGAUCAGAGGCAGAUGAACUGGUACUGGCUCUUGAUGACGUCAUGCUGCAAUACAUAUCUAAUCUACAAGAAACUUUGAAGUCCCUGAGGACGGUAUGUGGGUUGGAUAAUACCACACAUACUGAUGCCUUGAAAAAAGAUGCAGGAUUAGAGAAAAAGGAAGCACCACGAUUGGUGGAUGUGUCUGAAGAGGAAGAAUGGUCAAUUGUCCAGGGUGCUUUGCAGGUUCUUACAGUUGCCGAUUGCUUAACUAGCAGGACCUCAGUUUUCGAAGCUUCUUUAAGGGCUACUCUUGCCAGGAUUGGAACAAACUUUUCUCUUUCCGGAUUUGGUUCUAGCAUGGAUAAAUCAUCUGCUGGUACUGCUGAUGACAACUCGGGAGCACCUCUGGGUGGGAGGGCAGCACUUGAUAUUGCAACCAUUCGACUCACCAAUCUACCAGACAAGUCUAAGAAACUCCUCACUGUGCUAGAACAGUCAAAAGAUCCAAGGUUCCACGCUCUUCCCGUCACGUCACAAAGAGUUGCGGCCUUCUCAGACAAAGUAAACGAGCUUGUAUAUGAUGUGCUCAUUUCCAAAGUCCGGCAGCGUCUCUGUGAGAUUGCCCGCCUCCCAAUCUGGUCGUCCGUGGAGGAGCAGGGUGGUCUUCCUCUUCCAAGCUUCAGUGCGUACCCACAGUCAUACGUGACCAGUGUCGGGGAGUAUCUCCUCACUUUGCCACAGCAGUUGGAGCCUCUCGCUGAAGGCAUCUCAGGCAGUGAGGCUGGCAAUGAUGAGGCUCAGUUCUUUGCUACAGAGUGGAUAUUCAAGGUCGCCGAGGGUGCCACCGCCCUGUUCAUGGAGCAGCUGCGCGGGAUCCACUACAUCACGGACCGGGGCGCCCAGCAGCUCGCGGCGGACAUCGAGUACCUGAACAACGUCCUCUCGGCACUGUCGAUGCCGAUCCCUCCAUUCCUCUCCACCUUCCACGCCUGCAUCUCGACCCCGAGGGACCAGGUCCGCGACCUGAUAAAAUCGGAUGGCGGGACCCAGCUGGACCUCCCCACCGCCCAUCUCGUCUCCAAGAUCCGGCGCAUCUCGCUAGAGUAG